GGAACGUGCUAACAAAAGCUGCACUUCCAUUUCUUGAAAAGAUGAUCUGAUAUUUAGCGCUCUCCUUGUAAAAGCCCAAGAUAAAAGGAGUUUUUGGUAUCGGCAUAAGGAGUCCCAUUCUCACCUGGAAAUUAUUUAGGAUAGCUACACAGAGCCUUCCUGUUCCAAAUCUGCAUUCUAAAAAUCCUAUCUGAAGAAAAAGCUAGUGCUUACAACAUUAUUUUCAGCCAAAGAAAUGUGUGAUAUGAAAUGAGGCAAUCAGACAGUCACUAGAAGAAUUUAAGCCCUUUUAAGGCAGCUACCAAAGGAAAGCAUCUGAUGAAGGAAGAAAGAGAUUAAAAAAAAAAAUAAUUAAGAGCUCUGAAAGGGAACUAUGCUCACUGGGUGGAUAGAUGACUCACUUUUAAGGUAAUAGGAGGAAUUUACCUUGGAAAAAUUAACAUUCUUCCCCUACUUUUCAAAAGUCAGCAUCUUUCCUUAUUAUCUUCUUUCCCCUUCUUCUUCUUCUUCCUCUUCUUCUUUUUUAAUACAAUAAAAUACAGAAAGGGUAAUUUACUAAAAAGCUCAAAUGACCACUGAACUUAACACCAGAGUAAUUCUCAAAGAAACCUGUAAUUACAGAAGAGCAUAACAUGAAAUCUCUAGUCGUAGCAAACACUCCAUCCCCAUCACUAAGCUAUUAUUUGAGAAUUCAGCUGUAAAAAUAAACUUGGUCCUAGCUUCAGAGGAAGUGAUAGAGGUAGAAGAUCUUAACUCAUUAAGAUCCAGAUGAAAAAAAAUCUCUUCCCGUUAAGUCAUUUUUGUUUAUUUCAGUGCUGAGGGAGUUGAUUAAAAAUGCAUGUGGAAUUGUUAAUUUGAAUGUGAUGCUCCUAAAACCUCUGCAUUCUUUGUGUACCACGUGUUGGUUGGGUGUAAGAAUACAAUGCAGAAGGGAAUUACAAAGACCUGAACUGCUAUUUCUAUUCUAAUAUGAAAGUUGGUACAGGCCUUGGGACCGUGUCGUAGUCAGAGAAUAUUUUUUUUCACACAAAUAUUAUAUACACAGGGUCCAUCUCAUCUUGAAUGUCUUUACUGUUACUAUUAAGUAUUAAAGGAUCAUCUGUUCAUCUUACAAGAUUAAAUGGCUUGACAAUUUUGAUAUUUGCCCUGUUUACACACAUGACAUAACUGUGCUUCAAUUGUAUUUGAGCAUACAUUUUAUUUUCCUAAGGUUUGUAUGGAGAACUGUGUACUUUUUAUUUUCCAAGAUAUAAAAUAGCAUUAUGAAGAAGGGAAUACACAAGAAUUAGUUACAAGAGCUUACCUCUAAUUUUUGAUAUUAACUUCCUGCUUUUCUGUUAAUAAAGUCAAAAAUGAUAUUGAGAGCCUAUUUAUGCCAACUCAUAGUGAAAACUAUGCACACCCCAUGAGUCUCUUCCAGCGGCCUCAUCCCCCAAUCUACUUUUUCCUGAGUACUUAGAAGGACUGCUUAGCAUUUUCUGACUUUGGAUAUUAUCCUUGAUAAUACAUGUUCAUCUUACAGACCCUGUCUGAUGAACAGAAACUUUUGGAAUUUAUUUAGAAUAAACUUAGAAUUAUCUAAAUAAAUAGAAUUUAGACCCAGUACUUUCGAUUUUAAACAUUGUAUUAAGAGGUAACUGCUCUUGGAACCACGGAGGAUGAUCACCCCCACACAACCUCUGCACCCACAUCGGCUUUACCUGAGAAAUACACUCAUGUUCCAACAGUAUAUGUCAGGCAAGUCUAUAGCCCACACAAGCUGCACAUAGCCCAGGACAGACAGCAAUGCAUCCCAAAACUUCUAACAUAAAACUUAUAAUGUUAUUGUGUGAUUUUUAG
ensembl:lncRNA